UACGUAGGGGGCUAGCGUUGUUCGGAUUCACUGGGCGUAAAGGGUGCGCAGGUGGGUUGGCAAGUUUGAUGUGAAAGCCCCGGGCUUAACCCGGGAAUGGCAUCGAAUACUGCUGAUCUGGAGGAUUGGAGGGGGGACUGGAAUUCUUGGUGUAGCAGUGAAAUGCGUAGAUAUCAAGAGGAACACCAGUGGCGAAGGCGAGUCCCUGGACAAUACCUGACACUGAGGCACGAAAGCCAAGGGAGCAAACAGG
rnacentral:rRNA from 1 species